rnacentral:lncRNA from 1 species
AUGAAGACCACAACGCGGUCGACCGGCUUCAUAUUUAUUUUCUUUCUUGGACUGGAGGCUCGGGUUUCUGUCACCACAUUGGUCCUUUAUCCUCUUGGAAGCCGCGUCCAUCUGUCAUGUGGCUCAGGACCCCACAGUUCUUGCUCUUCCAUUGUGUGGAAAAAGAAAGGGUGGCAUGAUAGUGUUGAACUUAUUCGUAAUGAGAGGGUGAGUGCGGGUGAAAAGCGGAUGAGUCUGGGAUCAGACUGUUCUCUACAAAUCCAGGAUUUCCGGAAUACUGACGCAGGUGAUUAUAUGUGUGAUAAUGGGGCCACCAGCACGUCAGCCAUCAGUCUGGCUUUUCCUAAUAUCACACAAGAACUGGGAGGUGAUAGUACUUUAGUACUUCAAUGCUUCCCAGCUGACUCGAGGGGCAUUUUUAACCGAAACAAUUGUACUGGAUUUAAUUUUAAAUGGAUAAAUGAAGCCCAGUCUGAGUUACAAGGACCAAGAUAUGAGAUCACUGAAGUUACAUGCAUGUCAAAGCUGCAUGUAAAACUAAAGAAAACAGAUCACAAGAGGAAGUGGACGUGUCAAGUGUCCCAAGAAGGCGUCUUCACAGCUUCAACUAGCCACACAACCACAUUGAAAGAUGGUGUGGAUGAAGUGUAUGCUACUGAGGGUGGAUCCGUGGCAUUACCCUGCAUUGACAAUGAUGUCCUGACUCAUGGACACCGGUUGGAGUGGUCUGUGGGUGGGAAGACCCUUUUCAGUCUGUCCCACCAUGAUGGUGUCACAGUAACUGGACACGAUCCUCCUGGAUGUCGGAUGAAUGCAGACUCCUCUUUGGUUGUGAAGUCAGUGAGUGAGCAGCAUGCUGGCCUCUAUACGUGUGCCGAGUUCAACAAUUUCACACAGAUAUUAACACACAGGGCGGUGCUACUGCACACUUUGAGAGUGACUGAAGAAAUCUCUGCUACACCAACACAAAGAAACAUCACCCUCACCUGCACCCUGACCUGUGCGGAGACCUGCGACCCAGAACAGUACAUCUCAUGGCAGGGUGGGCAACUUGUCACAGCUGUUCCAAAGGCCAGAACCAUUAGAUCCGAGCUGCUCCUCCCAGAUGUACAGAGCUCAGACAGGGUGACCUGUGUGGCUCUCAGGGAGCAGAUGGAGAAGGCCAGUCAAGAAUGGGUUCCUCUGAGAGAAGGUCCACCAGUCGCUGUAAUCGCAGGCAUUUCUUUUCUGAUCAUAAUCCUCCUCCUAGCCAUUGGUGUGUUGCUCUGGUGGAAAAGGAGAAAAGCAGGGGAUCAGGAGGCUUCAUCUGACCGAAUUGGAAUGGGUCAUAUCUAUGAAGUAUGUUUGGAGGCUGAACCACCACUGGAAAACACUUCACAAACACAAGAUGUGACCAUUUAUACCUUAGCACAACCUGUAAACCAUCAUUAAUGCUGUCAUCAACAUGCAUUUCUUAUUAACUGCUUUCUAGUUCUAUCACUAAAUAUGAGAACGUAUUAGUACAUAACAGUGACAACAAUACAUCACUGUGACAGAUCAUUGUCAUAUUUUCCCCUACUUAAUCUCUGUAAAUAUCCUCUGCCAUAAUAAAUGAUAAUAGUUUAUAAUAGUUUGGGGUAUU